rnacentral:misc_RNA from 1 species
AAAAUAAACCGUGAUGUUCCGGAGAAAGGAACCAUACGAUGGAAUUAAAUAUUGGAUCGAUCUACGGCUUAAGCAUCAGUCUGAAUUUACGGGCUUCGUGUGCCUCAGAAAAACCUGAAAGUUUGAUAACACUUCCGCACGGAAAAACUGUCUGUGACGAAAAGGGACUUCGGGGCCUGGCGACAGAAAAAUAGCGGGUCGAAAUGGCGGAAAGUGCCGUAACGGAGACUGCAUCACCGGACAAGCAGCCCGACCUCACGGGACAGGCCAAGAAGACCAUUCAGACCAAGGGAAAUGUUGUCAUAUUCGCAAUGGACGGGAGUGACAUUGCUAUUAACGCCCUCAAGUAAACAUCUCUUUCCAUCCAUCAAUCCAUCCAUUUAUCCAUUUAUCCAUCCAUUCAGCCAUCCAUCCAUCCAACCAACCAACCAUCCAUCCAUCUUUCCAUCCAUCCAUCCAUCCAUCCAUCAAUUCAUCCAUCGUUCAUCACCCUUUUAUAAGUUAUGAAUUUUAUUUUUUACAUCAAAGAGAAGUUUAUAUACAAUGUUAAUGUGCCAAUCAUAAUAAUCCUUACAAUGCCGUUACAAUAUCACCUACAGAAAAGUGAAACAUGCCAUUUGAUUGGUUUAAUCAAGUUUGUUAUGACAUUAUAAAACAGUACCCUUUAAAGGUCGUUGUCAUAUAUCUACUUUUUGCGCUUAUGAAAAAAAUCUGUGUUUAUAAAUGAUAAUUUCUUUGGUUUGCUUUUUUGUUGGAGCACAUUUCAAAAUUUAUUUUUAGAGUUAAAUAUCAAGAACAAAAACUUUGUGAAGAUAUAGACAAUAUAGAAAAAAAUACAGAAAGAACAAUAAAAAAACUACAAAUGACAAUUGAAUAUUCUCUUUUCACGUGGUUUGAUAUAUACAAAUAUACAAAUAUCAUGUUCUUUUACAAACAGGUUAACCAUUUGAUUCGUAAAUAUAUGUCUCACAUUUUUCCAGUUGAUGUUUUUCUUAUACAUGUAAGUAUCUAAACAUUAAAAGCUUACAGUUCUUCAAUUUUUUUUUACCUAGGGUACGCCUCAAAAUGUCACAGACCGGAAGACGUAGUAGUUCUUGUAUACGCCGUAGAAAUGAGCGAGAUCUUCACUUCCGCCCAGUGGCUACAAAGUAAGUCACGUGAUCCUCAAACCGCCUAACACAGAAGAUAUCGAUGCCUUUCAAACUAUAUUCCGACAUGAAAUAGAAAAAAUACAGAAGAAACUUCAGACGUUUACUAAAGUUUUACGACAACUAGAGAUUAAUGGAAGCGUCAGAAGUACUCACGCCUGCAAGCCCGGAGAGGGAAUAAUCAAUGUAGCCAAGGAGCUGAACGCAACCAUGAUUGUCACCGGAAGUAGGGGUCACGGUAAACUCAGAAGAACUCUGCUGGGUAGUGUCAGUGAUUACUUGAUACACCACGCGGACAUUCCUGUACUUGUGUGUCGUCAUCAAUCAUUUAAUUGACGUCACUCUUGUUAUAAAUGAUUGCUGAAAAUCCGCUUUCAGAGAUUUAGAAGGUAAAAGAUUCUGUACUUGACAAGAUGUGUUUGUUUAUUAUCAUGUAAUCAUGUCCUAAAAAGUGUAUUAAAGGAUAUAUAUCAU